rnacentral:tRNA from 1 species
GGCUUCGUGGUGUAGUUGGUAAUCACGUCAGUGCAACACACUGGACGGUCUCCAGUUCGAAUCUGGACGAAGCCA